CACCCCCCCACCCCGUCCCACACUUCCUCUAGUAAGGUCACACCUCAUAAUCCUUCACAAAUGCCACCACCAGCUGGGGACCAAGUGUUCAAAUGCCCAAGGCUAUAGGGAACAUCUCUUUUAUACCCCCCAUGGCAUGACUGUAGUAUGGACAAGGACUGAUACUUAGAGAAAUUUAGUCACUUUCAGAUCAUAUUGCUGGUGAAUGCAGAGUCUUGAGAGAGAGACAUCUUCAAACAUUUCUUAAAGUGUGAGGUUAGUGAUGGGAAGAAGGACCGGGACAGAUCUAAAAACUAGGAAGUUUAUGAUUUGAAUGUGCGGGGUCCUCACAGGCUCAUGUAUUGGAACACUUGGUCCCUAGCUGGUGUCGCUAUUUGUGGAGACUCUGGAACUUUUGGGUAGAACCUUGCUGAGGGAAGUGGUGGGCUUUGAGGGUUUACAGUCUCAUGGCAACCACUGUUGGUCCCUGUCCCCUGCUCCCACACUGGUCAUACAGUGUAAAUAGCCAGUCUUCCUGCCGCCAUGCAUUCCCCAUAGUGAUGGACUGUGACUCUUCACACUGUACCAAAACACUCCCUCCCUGAAAUCUUUUCUUGUUAUGUAUUUUGUCACAAGAAUGAGGGGGGAAACACCUACUGCAAUUAGGAAAUCAAUAUGUUCUUGAGAGGUGGAGAGAUUGAAUCUAAAAGAGUGGUGGAAAGAGUGUAUGUGGGUAUCCCACGGUGAUCUAAGUGAGCGAUGUAAUAAAAACUGAAAAAUUUAAAGGAUUUUGUUAUUGUUGAAAAGGGUGUGGGGUAGGAGUAUUACAGACCUGUUAAGUUUGAGGUUCUACUACACAUUUGAAUAGAGUUGCCAAAAUACAAAGCCUGGAACUUGGGAAUGGGUGGGUUCACACUGGAAACACAGCCCUCACCAUCAUUAGCAUAUGGGUGUCCUUUAAAGCCAUUGGGUUGCACAGAGAUAACUAAGGCAGAAGUUCAGAGAGAGAGAACAGAUGGUAUUUUUUUUCCUGGACAUUUAACUUUAAAAGUGGCAGAAGAGUUUGGCAAAAGAACCUAAGAAAGAGCAGCCAGUGAUUCUGAAGGAAAAGCAGAAGGCGGAGUCAUGAAAGCCAAGACAAGAGAACAUGUUGAGGAGAAAGAGGUGGGUCCAGAGUCUCAAGCUCUGUGUCAGCUUCAGGUUGCAGGUUCGCUGCCUGCCUUUGCAGGACAAAUGCUCGUCUGGAUUGACAACGUUGUCCCUGUUUGCCCACAGCGGCCACUGGCUGUGAUGUGUCCUGGCACCCUCCUGCAGUGGCCUGCCACUUGGAACACUGGACCUUGGCAUGCCUCUGUGCUCUGGCCCUUUUGGAGAUUGUCCCUCAAGGGCUUCAUAAGAAAUUGGUAACUGUGUUUACUUGGUGGCUGGGAAGAAAGUCUUUAAUAUCUCAAUUAAAAAAAAACUCAUAAUGUAAA